rnacentral:rRNA from 1 species
AACGAACGCUGGCGGCAUGCCUAACACAUGCAAGUCGAACGAGACCUUCGGGUCUAGUGGCGCACGGGUGCGUAACGCGUGGGAACCUGCCCUUAGGUUCGGAAUAACUCCCCGCAAGGGGUGCUAAUACCGGAUAAUGUCUUCGGACACAAGAUUUAUCGCCUUUGGAUGGGCCCGAGUUGGAUUAGCUAGUUGGUAGGGUAAAAGCCUACCAAGGCGACGAUCCAUAGCUGGGCUGAGAGGAUGAUCAGCCACACUGGGACUGAGACACGGCCCAGACUCCUACGGGAGGCAGCAGUGGGGAAUAUUGCACAAUGGGCGAAAGCCUGAUCCAGCAAUGCCGCGUGAGUGAUGAAGGCCUUAGGGUUGUAAAGCUCUUUUACCCGGGAUGAUAAUGACAGUACCGGGAGAAUAAGCCCCGGCUAACUCCGUG